rnacentral:rRNA from 1 species
CCUACGGGAGGCUGCAGUGGGGGAUAUUGCACAAUGGAGGAAACUCUGAUGCAGCGACGCCGCGUGAGGGAAGAAGGUUUUCGGAUUGUAAACCUCUGUCUUCGGGGACGAAACAAAUGACGGUACUCGAGGAGGAAGCCACGGCUAACUACGUGCCAGCAGCCGCGGUAAUACGUAGGUGGCAAGCGUUGUCCGGAAUUACUGGGUGUAAAGGGAGCGCAGGCGGAACUGCAAGUUGGGUGUUUAAUCUACGGGCUCAACCCGUAUCAGCAUUCAAAACUGUGGUUCUUGAGUAAUGCAGAGGUAGGCGGAAUUCCCGGUGUAGCGGUGGAAUGCGUAGAUAUCGGGAGGAACACCAGUGGCGAAGGCGGCCUACUGGGCAUCAACUGACGCUGAGGCUCGAAAGCAUGGGUAGCAAACAGGAUUAGAUACCCCUGUAGUC